GCAAAAACCAAUCCACACCACUCAGUGCCAGCUUUCCCCCUCCCCAAAAAAAACAACUACAAGGACAAAAUAUAGGAGCAAAGCAACACGAGAAGAGUUACCAACAGAGGAUCAUUUCAAGGACUUGUUGAGGGAGGGCUGUAGAUGGAAUCAGAGAGCUUCAUUAACUUUGGAGCACAAUAUAUGAUAUGCCUGAUCAACUCUAUUGCACAACAAGAUGUAUUAGCGCCUAUCUGAUCAAAUUGAUAAAAAAAAAAAAAUUCAAACAGCAUAUCUAGGAAGCUCUGAAGAAACAGAUUGUCUGGGUGGUGUAGUUGGUUAUCACGCUAGUCUCACACAUACUUCUAAUCUUUUUUUGCUCCGAUCUUAAACCAAAUCUUCAGAGGCAAAUCACAAAGACACCCACAAAAUCUGCUAAGAUUUCACAUCCUCAUCUUUCAGUACUCCAAACAAAGAUGCAAAUUCAAUAUUUUUCACUCUCAAAUCGCACUCUUGGACUGCCCAAUUUAUCACAUUCUCAUAUGCGCUCAUCUUUUGCACCAGCUCCUGGUCUCUCUAUUCCUGGGUUCAGAUUUCAUUCCAAAUUUGGGUGUUGCAAUUCAGUCAAAAGGUUAUCCAAAUCACUUGGUGUUUUGAGAAGAUAUGGUGGAUUGGUUAUGAUCAGUUGUGGAGUGUUAGCAAAUGAUGGUAGUGAUGAAGGUAAAGACGAUGGGUUUUAUAUGAGGAGGUGUGUGGAACUGGCAAAGAAGGCAAUUGGGUGUACAAGCCCUAAUCCUAUGGUGGGCUGCGUCAUUGUCAAAGAUGGCAAGAUUGUUGGUGAAGGGUUCCACCCAAAAGCUGGUCAGCCUCAUGCUGAGGUAACCCCGCGUUCCUUCCCUUUUGUCUCCACAUUUCGUUUGCCAUUAAAUCUGACUGAUUGUUUUGAUCUUUGGUCUCGUUUACAUGUAUUGAGUGUCUCUUUGUUGUGGAUAAAUCUCGUUUUCUGAUGUUCAAUUAAUAGUGGUUGGAUCUAAAAAUUGCGAGUAUUGAGUUUGUUAUCCAGGGCACCCAAGACGGAGUCUGGGCGUGUUUAGAAGAAAUUUCUUCUUUCGACCUUAGGUGAUCAGAUAACCUUCAUAAAAGCUCUGGGAUUGGUAAUUCUUGCCUGAUUUAAAUUAUUGAUGAAUGUGUUUAGCAUUCUUUUGAGAAAACACUGAAGCUUAAGCUUGAAAAUGAAGAAAGAGCAAGCAUUCGAUUUGAAAUGUAUAUUCUACCUUUGAAUUGCUGACUUAUGCAACUAAUAUGCAUCUUUCCUAUUCUUGUACAAUAUGGUGUCUACUUUUCAAAUCAGUGUCUUUUCUUGACAAACUGUUGUCAGAUAAUUUGGUUCAGGUAUUUGCUCUGAGAGAUGCUGGAGAUUUGGCUGAGAAAGCAACAGCUUAUGUGAGCUUAGAGCCGUGCAAUCACCACGGGAGAACUCCACCCUGCACUGAAGCCCUCAUUAAAACCAAAGUUAAGAAGGUGGUAAUUGGAAUGGUUGAUCCAAAUCCAAUUGUGGCUUCAACAGGGGUGGAUAAACUGAGACAUGCAGGCAUUGAUGUAGUUGUAGGUGUAGAAGAAGAAUUGUGCAAGAGGCUCAAUGAGGCCUACAUCCAUCAAAUGCUGACUGGAAAACCUUUUGUUACACUCAGCUUCUCGUUCUUCUCCAAUGAAAAUCCGUUCUGUAGAGGAAGAAGCAGCAUCCAAAAUGAUUAUAUUUACAGACAAAGAGACAACUGUCGAACCAGUAACAGCUCAAAAAGGAAUUGAAACUGUGGUAUUGGAUGGGAUAUGCUUGAAUGAAAUUUUGGAAUAUUGUAAGCGUCGGGGACUGUGCAGCAUUUUACUGGAUUUGAGGGGAAGUUUUGAUGAGCUUGAAGGACUUCUUAAUGAUGGUAUUGAGCAGAAUACGUUGCAAAAAGUCAUGGUGGAAGUAUUGCCAUUGUGGGUUGAAAAUAGUACCAAGAGUUCUUUUGUGGCUUUGAAGAGAGUUCAGAAAAGACUAAAAGUAAAUAAUCUACAGCCCAGGAUCUCACAUCAGAGCAUUAUAUUGGAGGGUUAUCUUUAGUGCAAGUUGUCUGAACUCAAGGAGACAGCACAUAAAUUUUCGAGCAGAGCCCAUGUCGAGCGUACCAUGUACUCCAUUUCACUUGGAGCUUCAAGAAUAGAAAUAUAGAAUGGAAAGGUUUAUUUCAUGCUUCCCUUAUUCCUUUGCUUACAUGGAGAAACAGUAGCAUAAUGCUCUGAAAGGUCCUGAACCAACAAAUUUGACCUUCCCUACAUUUUCGAUUGCACGCUGCUUUAAUACUAUGUUUGCAAAUUUUCAGAUGCCUGAAGAGAUUUUCCCUUUUUUUUUAGCAGCUUAUGUGUUAACAACAAGCUGGACUGAGAACUUUCUUGAGAUAUGUUCACUCUUAUGCCUUAUUUUGGUAGCUUCACCAUAUUAAUGCCUGGGGCAUUAAAGCUUUAUUUUGCAGGCAAUUCAUUGACCUGCCCCGGAGAUAAAUAUAAUGAGGAGUCUUCAUAAGAAGUUUAAACACAUAAUAAUACUUUUAUGUACAUGUAUCCACCUAUACACAUUAAAUUAUUACAUGAAUUUAAUUACAGAUGUCUAGUGUAUGCGGAUGCCUCAAGCAUUCGGACCAGCAUAUAUUCAUUUUUCCCACACUCAGGGUCAGACACUUCCAAGGUAUUCAAAACAGCAUUAGAGGAAUCGACAAUAUUGUCAAUGUAAGGAAUCUGUUAUGAGAAAUGAGUAAAGCAGUUAGGAGGUUAGUUCAGUAGUUAAAUAGGAAGAUUCUA
rnacentral:misc_RNA from 1 species